rnacentral:lncRNA from 1 species
CCCCAAGCUGAAGCGCCCCAGGAACCUGAAGUCCCGACUCCCGAACCAUCUUCCGUGCGUGUUGAGACGGACCCAUCGUUUUGGGCUCACGAAUAAAAGCUGUUUAAGCUCAACCUUGUUUCCCUUCUUUUUUUUUCUUUUUUCUUUUGGGCUUUGGAGAAUAUGUGCUGUCUAGUUUUGAUUCAUAUCCAACUACACGGUGUAUGGG